AUGUUAACGUAAAAAACCGGCGCGUAAAACGUAAAACUUUUAGGUAAAAUGUAAAACGUAAAUUUUUUUUAGUAAAACGUAAAACGUAAAAAACCGGCGCGUAAAACGUUAAAAACCGGCGCGUUAAAGGUUAGAGGUUCAGAGUCUAGUGGUGGUGCGGUUGCUGGGGCCUUACCUGGUUCGGUGGUGGCGUACGGCGGCACACAGCAUAGAAGCAGAGAGAGAGAGGUAGUUAGGAGAGAGAGGGAAACGACGGAGAACAACGAAACAUUUACCAGUCGUUCAUUUCUCUGGCGAGCACCCCCUUCUUCGUAUGUCUGAUGAUGAUGAUGAUGUUGCUGACGGCGGUGAUAAUCCUCUGGCGGUUCCUUUUUUUUCCGGUAACUCCUCAUAACUCUUCUUUUCUUUUGACUUUUUUUAAGAUCUGAUGAUGCUUCGGCCAGUGGGUGGUGGUUUCAGGUGGAACUUGGUGGUGGCCGAUGAUGUACGGGGUGUUGACGACGGCGGAUAUGGUGGCAGCGAAGUUUGCCGGCAAUUGGUUGGCGACGAUGUGCCGACAACAUCGCUAAUGGUGAUGGGUAUUUUUGGCAUUCGGAUUAGUUUCGGGUGGAUCGGGUUUCGUGGCUCAGUCGGAUCCGGGUCAAUAAACUGGUCCUGGUAUAAACGAAAUGGUACUUUAGACAUUUCAUUAGUAGUACUACAAUCUUAGUCAUUGAACCAAAAACGAAAACUUCUAUGCUGCAAUAGUUGAAAGUGGCAUCAUAUAUUAUGGGCAAAGGUCACAACAUAUGUAUCCAUUUUGAGGGAACUUGCUUUUCUAGAUUAUCUUUUUUUUCUUAUCCGUUUUGACGUUUCCUCGACAUAACACCGGGGAUUGGUUAUGUUGGCUCGGAUUAUGUCAGGAUCGGUUCAGAUUAGACGAUAGCUCGGGUCAUAGCUCGGUUCGGGUGAUGGUUUUUGUUCUUGGUUCAGAUUUGGGGAGUGUUUGGGUCGUGGAUUGUGCAAGUCAGAUUUUGGUUCGGCAGAAAUUCGGGUUCUCGCUUCGAGUUCGGGUAUCGGAUCAAGCUUCGGGUUUGGUCAACGAUUCGGUCAACUGUUCAACAACGGUUAAACGCGGUCAACUCAGGACCGGGUAACAACUUAAACAUGGCGAGUUGUUAUUAUUAGGCUAGUUAGAUUAGUUUACACGGUUUUUUAGAUUUUAUUAUAGCUAUACGCGACCGAGCUCGACCAUAUUCGAUUAAGUAUUAGUUUACAUAUUAAUAUACUUGACGAAGAGUUUAUAUAUAUUGUUAUAUUUUGAGUAA